GACGAACGCUGGCGGCGUGCUUAACACAUGCAAGUCGAGCGACAGUGUUCUUCGGGACAUAUGGAGCGGCGAACGGGUGAGUAACACGUGGGCAACCUGCCCUCAGCUCUGGGACAACUCCGGGAAACCGGGGCUAAUACCGGAUACGACCACUCCUGGCAUCUGGGGUGGUGGAAAGUUUUUCGGCUGAGGAUGGGCCCGCGGCCUAUCAGCUUGUUGGUGGGGUCAUAGCCCACCAAGGCGACGACGGGUAGCCGGCCUGAGAGGGCGACCGGCCACACUGGGACUGAGACACGGCCCAGACUCCUACGGGAGGCAGCAGUGGGGAAUAUUGCGCAAUGGGCGAAAGCCUGACGCAGCGACGCCGCGUGAGGGAUGAAGGCCUUCGGGUUGUAAACCUCUUUCAGCAGGGACGAAGCGAAAGUGACGGUACCUGCAGAAGAAGCACCGGCCAACUACGUGCCAGCAGCCGCGGUAAUACGUAGGGUGCAAGCGUUGUCCGGAAUUAUUGGGCGUAAAGAGCUCGUAGGCGGUCUGUCGCGUCGGCUGUGAAAACUCGGGGCUCAACCCCGAGCCUGCAGUCGAUACGGGCAGACUAGAGUGCUGUAGGGGAGACUGGAAUUCCUGGUGUAGCGGUGAAAUGCGCAGAUAUCAGGAGGAACACCGGUGGCGAAGGCGGGUCUCUGGCAGUAACUGACGCUGAGGAGCGAAAGCGUGGGGAGCAACAGGAUUAGAUACCCUGGUAGUCCACGCCGUAAACGGUGGGUGCUAGGUGUGAGCGGUAUUCCACGCCGUUCGUGCCGCAGCUAACGCAUUAAGCACCCCGCCUGGGGAGUACGGCCGCAAGGCUAAAACUCAAAGGAAUUGACGGGGGCCCGCACAAGCAGCGGAGCAUGUGGCUUAAUUCGACGCAACGCGAAGAACCUUACCAAGGCUUGACAUACACCGAAAACUCGUAGAGAUACGGGGUCCGCAAGGGCGGUGUACAGGUGGUGCAUGGUUGUCGUCAGCUCGUGUCGUGAGAUGUUGGGUUAAGUCCCGCAACGAGCGCAACCCUCGUUCUAUGUUGCCAGCGGGUUAUGCCGGGGACUCAUAGGAGACUGCCGGGGUCAACUCGGAGGAAGGUGGGGACGACGUCAAAUCAUCAUGCCCCUUAUGUCUUGGGCUGCACACAUGCUACAAUGGCCGGUACAAAGGGCUGCUAAGCCGCGAGGUGGAGCGAAUCCCAAAAAGCCGGUCUCAGUUCGGAUUGGGGUCUGCAACUCGACCCCAUGAAGUCGGAGUUGCUAGUAAUCGCAGAUCAGCAACGCUGCGGUGAAUACGUUCCCGGGCCUUGUACACACCGCCCGUCACGUCACGAAAGUCGGUAACACCCGAAGUCGCCCCUUAAAAGGUGCCGAAGGUAUGGAUGGUGAUUGGGAUGAAGUCGUAACAAG
rnacentral:rRNA from 1 species